rnacentral:misc_RNA from 1 species
GGAGCACGAAGGCGGCUGCGGG